UCUCCCCGCUCUCCCCUCCCGCCCUCACCCCAGCUCUUCUUCCCCCACCUCUCCUUUCCCUCUCUCCUUGGCUCCUUCCCGAGUCCCUUACAGCCCCGAACUCUGCAUCUUCAGGGUGCCCCAAGACCAGCCCUCGUCCUGCUUCCUGCCUGCUCUCCGGCCUGUGGCUUUGGUGUGCACCGGUGUCUGUAGGCUGUCCUGGGGCCAGCAGCAAACACAAGCAAAGCCCACUUUUGUCUGUUGACCUCUGAGCAUGACCCUAAGAGGACUUUCCAGUUUAAGGCUGGCAGCACAUGAGAAGCACGCACGUGCAGCAGCAGACUCGGCGGGAGAGCCUCCCCAGCUCGAAGUCGUCAAGUUGGGUUCAAAAAGAAUGCAGCCUUCAUGUUUUUCUGCCCUCUGCUCCCUUCAGCUCUCAUACCACCAACGUUCCGCCAACGUCCCACCACCCUCAUGACAACCGUCCCCGGGACUGCUCCAGCGAAGGCACCCUUGCCUGGGCCACGAGGCGCAACCGUCCCUCACAGCUGGGGAGGCUUCUCCAGGUUCGCACCGAGAGGAAGUUGGGGUACCGGUUUCCGCCGCCAGCACCCAAGAUGGCGACACGAGCGUCGCAACCACAAGCACCACAUGCUUCGUGUCCCGCCUCAGCCUUUUCGGGUCUCACUAGACUUUUGCAAGUCACUGUGGGAACCCUCAAGGCGGAGGUGUUCCGCACUCCCGCGGCGAUACACCCUCCCAUUCCCUGCCCUAAGCCCUCAAUCCCCCGCCACAGAAAGCGCUGGAAGCGCCCAGCUUGGAUACUUCACCCAACUCCCAGCCCGCUAAGAUCGCCCGCCACGAACGCGCGGCCGAGGGGCCCAGAAUGCUAGACACUAAGGCCUUCGCCCUACUCAUUGGUCGGUCCACACCGCGGGGCGGGCCUAGGUACCCACUGGGCCGGGAAUUAUGUCAGUCUUGGGAAGUCGGGUCCGGAGAUGAGGAGGUACACUCAGCCAUUGGGCCCUCUCUGCUGCCAAUCAGAGGGACAUCCGUCGAC
rnacentral:lncRNA from 1 species